rnacentral:rRNA from 1 species
AAAGAAACCAACAGGGAUUGCCCCAGUAACGGCGAGUGAAGCGGCAAGAGCUCAAAUUUGAAAGCUGGCUCCUUCGGGGUCCGCAUUGUAAUUUGCAGAGGAUGCUUCGGGAGCGGUCCCCAUCUAAGUGCCCUGGAACGGGACGUCAUAGAGGGUGAGAAUCCCGUAUGGGAUGGGGUGUCCGCGCCCGUGUGAAGCUCCUUCGACGAGUCGAGUUGUUUGGGAAUGCAGCUCUAAAUGGGUGGUAAAUUUCAUCUAAAGCUAAAUAUUGGCCGGAGACCGAUAGCGCACAAGUAGAGUGAUCGAAAGAUGAAAAGCACUUUGAAAAGAGAGUUAAAAAGCACGUGAAAUUGUUGAAAGGGAAGCGCUUGCGACCAGACUCGCUCGCGGGGUUCAGCCGGCAUUCGUGCCGGUGUAUUUCCCCGCGGGCGGGCCAGCGUCGGUUUGGGCGGUCGGUCAAAGGCCCUCGGAAGGUAACGCCCCUAGGGGCGUCUUAUAGCCGAGGGUGCAAUGCGA